rnacentral:tRNA from 1 species
GGCUUUAUAGUGGAAGAUAAAAGAUGUCAGAUUGCAAAUUUGAAGAUGCACAAAGUGCUGAAGCUU